GACGAACGCUGGCGGCGUGCUUAACACAUGCAAGUCGAACGGAAAGGCCCUGCUUUUGUGGGGUGCUCGAGUGGCGAACGGGUGAGUAACACGUGAGUAACCUGCCCUUGACUUUGGGAUAACUUCAGGAAACUGGGGCUAAUACCGGAUAGGAGCUCCUGCUGCAUGGUGGGGGUUGGAAAGUUUCGGCGGUUGGGGAUGGACUCGCGGCUUAUCAGCUUGUUGGUGGGGUAGUGGCUUACCAAGGCUUUGACGGGUAGCCGGCCUGAGAGGGUGACCGGCGACAUUGGGACUGAGAUACGGCCCAGACUCGUACGGGAGGCAGCAGUGGGGAAUAUUGCACAAUGGGCGGAAGCCUGAUGCAGCAACGCCGCGUGCGGGAUGACGGCCUUCGGGUUGUAAACCGCUUUCGCCUGUGACGAAGCGUGAGUGACGGUAAUGGGUAAAGAAGCACCGGCUAACUACGUG
rnacentral:rRNA from 1 species